UGAGAGAGAAAAGCGCCAGAACCUGAUUGCAACGGGAUUUUAAUCAGGUGGACGAGGAAGAAGGUUAUCGAAAUUUCGGCGGAUGCCUUCAGGCAGUGGCUGUUCUGCCUAAAUUUUAUUUCUUAAAAUCAGCGGGUAAUUGCUGAGACAAAGGGGAUAAAUAGCAGCUGA
rnacentral:ncRNA from 1 species